ACAAUACAGGGCAAUUGUCUUGUAAUUGGAAUGAUGGUGACCUAAACCCUCACCAGAGUAACAAUUGGAGGGCAAGUCUGGUGCCAGCAGCCGCGGUAAUUCCAGCUCCAAUAGCGUAUAUUAAACUUGUUGCAGUUAAAAAGCUCGUAGUUGAAUUUUUGCGUGGUGUUAAUCAUAACUGAUGUUUUGAUUGCACUUCGCUUUUGGGAUUUAUCCCUUUUUACUUUGAGAAAAUUAGAGUGUUUCAAGCAGACUUUUGUCUUGAAUACUUCAGCAUGGAAUAAUAGAGUAGGACUUUGGUUCUAUUUUGUUGGUUUGUGAACCUUAGUAAUGGUUAAUAGGAACGGUUGGGGGCAUUCGUAUUUA
rnacentral:rRNA from 1 species